GACUAGUAAUCAGACUCUAAACUUUAAGGUUAAAAUGUCUGCCCUUUCCUACCUUAAAGCAGACCCCUGAAGCCUGGAAGGCUGCAAUGAAAAAGAGUCGGGGCCUUGAGGUUACCCAGAAUCUUCCAAUUCUGCUUCUUCAGUUGGACUCCUGGAAAUUCCCAGUCGCAGGGACCCCACAACUGUUCUGUUUGGAUGAACAUCUGGCAUCAGCUGACCCCCCAUCCCACCUCUUUCUGUGGAAGCCCUGUCCUGUUAUGCUGGCAGAUGGAGCAUGGAUCAACAGCUCAGCUGGGCUUCAUGGAAGCAUUUAUACAUAUUAGAUGGGAACACAAGAGAUGACCGCAGCCCCAGGAAAACGAUAUGGGGGGUAAUGCCAACACAAGUGAGGAGAAGAUUAAGAAUGAUUUGAAGUUGGCCACAUUGUAAGGUCAAAAAAAAAAA